UGAGGCACACCCCAUCAUUCCUCUGAGUCACUUGUUUAUAACGUCAGGCCUGGGGGGCACGGGAGAAAUGACAGCUGGCUGGGCUAGGGCUGAGUCACCUCCCUUUUGUGAUCUCAGCAAUAUCACUCUGUCCCUUUUUCUUUUUCUUCUUUUGAGACAGAACCUCAUUCUGUUGCCCAGGCUGGAGUGCAAUGGCACGAUCUUGGCUCACUGCAACCUCCACCUCCCGGGUUCAAAUGAUCCUCCUGCCUCAGUCUCCCGGUAGCUGGGAUUACAGGUGCCUGCCAUCAUGUCCAGCUAAUUUUUUUUUCUUUAGUAGAGAUGGGGUUUUACUGUGUUGGCCAGGCUGCUCUCAAACUUCUGAUCUCAGGUGAUCCGCCUGCCUCGGCCUCCCAAAGUGCUGGGAUUACAGGCGUGAGCCACCGCGCCCGGCCUCUGUCCCUCUUCAAUGGUGCAACUGACCAUCACUCACUCACCCCACCAGCAGGUCCCAAAGGGACACAGCACCUGGGCAGGCUCUGGAGGUGAUCAGUCCCUGUUGCUGAAAAGACAAGGGCUCACUCAGACAAGGCAGGUGGUGGGCUUUCAGCCCAGUCCGGGACUGCAGGGCAUUGUGGCAAGCACAGCCACUGAGGAGACUCGGCUUGAGGGCUGGGCACCUUGGCCAAGUCACAGAGCGGGCAUGGGGCGGUGCCAGGAUCUGAAACAGAUCUGCCCUCCUCCAAAGACUGUGGCAACCCUUCCCUACCUUGCCACUUCCCAAGAAUUAACAAAAAUGUCAUUAAUCGUAGUCUCAUUUCAAAGACCAGGACAGAAAAUACUGGCCAGUUAACUUAGAUUUAUCAAAUGACUUGAUGAAAUAUUUUUAGAUGGUGAUGGAUCCCAUAGCUGUCACUCUACCAAGCAUUCCAGUAGAACAUGUGUAUAUGGCUCAUUCAUUCAUCAUCAAGCACCAGCUGUGCACUGCUUUAAAUGCUGAAGAGUCAGCAAUCAGGCGUCACGGGACUUACAUUUGCCAGGGGGUCGGGGCGAGGGUGGUGGGGGAGACAGAAAUACAUCAAUAGUUAUUCAGGGCAUUGGACGAUGCUCAUGGCUGUGCAGACAAGGGGAACAGGGAAGGCGCAUGGGAAGUGGCAGGAGGAGGUGGGAACGAUUUUAAACGGAGCAGUCAGGAUGGACUCACCAAGAGGAUCACAUUGAGUUGAGUCAGAGGAUUCCCGGUGGGGGCGCAGCUGGAGCCAAGUUCCUGAGGCAAGAGAGUGCCUGGCAUGUUCCUGGAACAGCUUGGAGAGCGACCGGGCUGGAGCAGUGAAUGAGGAGGCAAGUAGGAGGCAAGGGGAGAGCUUCCCCAGGAAAACAGACAUGCCACUGAGCUCAACCCAUCGUAUGUGCCGUCCCAAACUUCAGCUCAGAUCAGGAAGCAGGGACACGCAGCAUCCAUGUUUUGACGAAGAUGGCUGAUGGAAAGCGGUGUCGGAACUUCUGGAGUCGGCUUCCCACUGUCCACGUGCAAGCGGAGGGAUCUGUCCCUGCUGGCGCUGGUUUGGCCACGACCUGGGCUAUGCAGCCUGUGACCCUGACUGCAGCACUCCUGAAGGUUCUGUCUGAUGCCACAGCAGCCAGUGAGGCUUCCAUGGUCUGCUGCUAAGAGGACUGUGCGAUGUUGAAAUUCAUUUCAGGAGUAUCCUGGCAGCAGGUGCGCACGGCGGAGCCAACGCAGUCGAGAGCAUCUCCGAUGGCCUGCUCGCCUGCUCACUGACUUCUGGGUUACAGGAGGCCUGUGAUGCAAGGAGUCGAGAUGCUGCAGAUGCUCUUACGUGACAAAGGGACCCAAAGACGGGAGCCCCGAAUGCUGGAGUGGACCCAUCCCCCGUGUCUGCUGAGAGGGCUGAGAGGACACCUCGCCCAUCAUUGAGGACCUUGUUGGUGAGCCUGCCACAUUUCUGCUGCUCCCUCCAGCCACAGAUUUCAUGCCUUUUUCAUUUUCAUGGAACCAAAUUCAACCCUGCUUCUGAUCCAGGAUCUCAUUUUGUAGCAAGAGAAGUGAGGCAAGCCUUCCAGUGAAUGAUGGCAGAUAAAACACAUGCUUUUUUGAGCUUCCUUUUGAAAGCUUACUAUAACUGAAGUAGAGGGUUAAGAGAAAUAAAAUAUGUAAACUCCCAGGAACAUGGUAUCAGCAUACUCUGCAGGGACAGAGCAGCACAGCCGCAGACUCUGGAAAGCAGGAGAGGUGUGAUAAGCAGCGUGGCAGUCCUGAUUCUGCAUCUGCGAUGAGAAGGCCAGAAUCCACAGAGAAGGCCCAGAAUUGGCAGCACCAGGUACCUUUAAACAUACAGGAGAAUCAACCACCACCUGGUAGAAGCCAGCGGUUUCAUUUCCAAAGAAGACAAACUGGAGGGCUCUUGACUAAGACUCUCAGCAGAGGAAACGGCAGUGCUGCAGUGUGAGCACUGGGCGAUGAAGAGCAACUCCAUAUUCUAAAUGGAAAACCCUACUCCCACUCAGCUCCCAGAAAGCUGACAGGCCAGCUAUGACCUCCAAACAGGGAACUAAAAUUGGGGGAUCUGACAGCCCAAGAGAAAAAAAAGAUAUUAAUGAGCCUGGUCAGAUCAUGGACAGUGAAGCCCACUAAUUAACAAGGCCCUUCACACGUGCUGAGUUUCCAAUACGCUUUUUGAUGGAAAUGGUUUGGUUGUGUCCCCACCCAAAUCUCAUCUUGAACUGUGGCUCCCACAAUUCCCACAUGUGAUGAGAGGGGCCCAGCGGGAGGUAACCAAAUCAUGGGGGCGGGCUUCCGCCUUGCUGUUCUCAUGAUAGUGAGUAAGUCUCACAAGACCUGAUGGUUUUGUAGAGGAGUUUCCCUGCACAAGCUCUUUGCCUGCGCCAUCCAUGGAAGACAUGCCGUCACCCCUCCUUGCUUUCCACCACAAGGUGAGGCCUCCCCAGCCAUGUGGAACUGUGAGUCCAAUAAACCUCUUUCCUUUCUGAGUUACCCAGUCUCAGGUAUAGCUUUAUCAGCAGGAUGAAAACGGACUCAUACAGCGAUCUACUUUUUUAAAGGCUUGAAAAUACGACUUCUGGCCUGGACAAAAUGCUGUGAGCUUGUUUCUACCUGCUCCUUCCUGUCAAGUACAGCUAUAAACUAUGAACACAAUGCAAGAGGCAAUCGGAGGACAACUCUGAAAGCUGGCAAGGGAAUUAAUUAUGCAUUAGUUCAGGACCCCAAAAAUAAAGGAACAACUCAGUGUCAGGAUAUCUUAUGUACCCCUACUCAAUGGAAGAAGAGGACCCAGGCCAGGCGUUUCCUGACCCCCAACCUGUCAACAGAAGGCAGCCAAAGCAGGCUCAGUGCUCUCACAAUUUGGAGAGGAGUACCUCUGACUCCCCAGGAGCCCGGCAGCACGGGAGGGGACAUUACUCAGGUGCCCAACCAACAAUCAGCAGGUGGGGAUGCCUUCUCCUUUCACACCGGACCUGAAACUCACCUCCCUGCCAAGAGGCGCUGGGCAGCCUGAUCUGGGAACAUCCCUUGGGCCCUCUCAGGCAGUACCAGCAGGAGCUCCGGCAGCACCAAAGAAACCAGGUACGAAAAGAACACCACAAAGGCUCUGAAAAUCAAACUGUCGUUGGAACCUCAGCCCUCAGACCAGGAACUGCAUGGUGAAUGUGAACCAGGUGACUGAGCGAGCCACCAAGGAACUCAGGGGGCCCAGAGUCUCCUGACAUGACAGCCAGAGUAUCUGGGGUGCAACUGAGACUCACCUGUCACACCAACAACGAGGAACAUCACAACUUGAGUGUGAAAAGUAUCAACUGGAGCCACCGCGGGGACUAACCAGUUGUUAGAAUUAUCUGGCGAGGAUUUUAAAGAGGCCACCAUAAUAAUGCUUUAACAAUUGCACAUUUUAUUGGAACUAAUAAAAAAAUUAAAAAUAUCAGCAAAGAAGAAGUUAUAUAGAAGGACCAAACGAAAAUUAUAGAACUGAAAAACAUAACCACAAGAAUAAAAGCCUACUGGGUAGCCUCAGGAGGAGAGGGGAGAUGACAGAAGAUAAAAUCAGGGCUUGAUUGAGGACAGAGCGAUAGAAUUUACCCAGUCUGAACAACAAAGAGAUAAUAUAGUGGGAACAAAUUGUGUGUGUGUGUGUGUGUGUGUGUGUGUGUGUAUGAGAGAGAGUGUGUGUGUGUCAGUCUCAGGGACCUAUAAGACAAUAACAAAAAAUCCACAUUUGUAUCACUGCAUAUCAUUGCAGUCUCAGAAGGAGAAGAGGAAGAAUGAGGCUGAGAGAAUAACUAAAGUAAUGCCCGAAGACUCCCAAAAUUUGGUGAAGACACAAACCAGCACAUUCAAGAAGCUGAGAAAACCCCAAACAAAAUAAACCCAAAGAAAUCCAUGUCGAGACACAUCAUAAUUAAACUUUUGCAAAUUAAAGACAAAAAGAAAUCUCAAAAGCAGCCACAGAGAAACAGCACAUCACCUGUAGCUGAAUGCCAAUUCAAAUGGCAGUGGAUUUUCAUCUGAAACUAUGGAGGCCGUUUGGGAGGCUGAAGCACGCGGAUCACUUGAGGUCAGGAGUUCAAGACCAUCGUGGCCAACAUGGUGAAACCCUGUCUCUACUAAAAAUACAAAAAUUAGCCAGGUGUGGUGGUGUGCACCUGUAGUCCCAGCUACUUGGGAGGCAGAGGAAGGAGAAUCGCUUAAACCCAGGAGGUGGAGGUUAUGGUGAGCCAAGAUCAUGCCAGUGUACGCCAGCCUGGACUCCAGCACUCACUGGACACAGUGAGACUCCAUCUCUAAAAAAAGCAAAACUAUGGAGGCCAGAAGGAAGUGAUACAACAUAUUUCAAGUGCUGAUGGAACCAUCAGCUGUGAAUUUUAUAUCCAAUUAAACUGUCUGUCAGGAAUGAAGGAGAAGUAAUCCCAGGAAAUGCCCACAAAAAGCUUACAGGGACUAAUACAUGAGUUCAGCAACAUUGGAGGCUGUAAGAUCAACACACAAACGUUAAUUGCAUUUCUGUUUACUAACAAGGAACAUGUAGAAACUGAAAUUUAAAACGUAAUGCCAUGCACCGUCACUCAAAAGAAAAUGACCUAUUUAGGCAAAACACACACAGGCUGUGUAUGUCAAAAACUGCAGAACGCUGAUUAAAGAGGUAAUGGAAGAGCUAAAUAAAUGGAGAGACAGAGUGUGUUCAUGGAUUGGGAGACUUGACAUCGUAAAGAUGUCACUUCUCCCCAAAUGGAACUAGAGGUUUUAUUCAAUGCCUAUCAAAAUUCCAGCAACGUUUUUAAUAGAUUUAGACAAGUUUAUCCUAAAAUUUAUAUGGAAAGUUACAGACCCUCGAAUAGUUAGAAUGAUCUUGACAAAGGAGAAUGGAGUGAGAGGAAUCACUCUCCUGUUACUGUCUUCAUAUACAGCUCCAGUAGUCGAGAUCAUAUGGUGUUGGCAGAGGGAUAAACAUACAGAUCAAUAGACCCAAACAGAGAACGCAGAAAUACAUUCAAAUAGGCUCAACCAAUCUUUGACAAAGAUGCAAAAGCAAUUCAAUGGAGGAAGGAUAGACUUUUCAACAAAUAGAGCUGGAGAAAUUAGGCAUCCAUAGGGGGAAAAAAAUAACCUCAAUCUAAUCUCACACCUUAUGCAAAAAUUAACUCAAAAUAGAUUGUGGAUUUAACAUGUAAAACAUCUAAAACAACCUUGAGCCAGGUGUGGUGGCUCGUGCCUGCAGUCCCAGACACUUGGGAGGCUGAGAUAGGAGGAGGAUUGCUUGUCCCCAGGAGUUCUGGGCUGUAGUGUGCAGUGCUGAUAGGGUGUCCACACUAAGUUCGGCAUCAAUAUGGUGACCUCCAAGUUGCCUAAUGAGAAGUAAACCAACCCAGGUUGCAAAUGGAGCAGGUCAAAACUCCCAUGCUGAUCAGUAGUAGGAUUGUGAACAGCCUGUGAAUAGCCACUAUCCUCCAGCCUGGGCAAAACAGCAAGACUCUUGUCUCAAAAAAAAAUCCUGAAAAAGAAGAAAGCUAAUGGUCUCCCACUUCCUGAAUUCAAAACUUACUACAAAGCUACAGUAAUCAAAACAGUGUGGCACUGGCAUAAAGGUAGAUAUAUAGACAGUGAUAGCUAAUUUUUUUUUUUUUUUUGAGACGGAGUUUCGCUCUUGUUACCCAGGCUGGAGUGCAAUGGCGCGAUCUCGGCUCACUGCAACCUCUGCCUCCUGGGUUCAGGCAAUUCUCCUGCUUCAGCCUCCUGAGCAGCUGGGAUUAUGGGCACGCGCCACCACGCCCAGCUAAUUUUUGUAUUUUUAGUAGAGACGGGGUUUCACCAUGUUGACCAGGAUGGUCUCGAUCUCUUGACCUCAUGAUCCACCCACCUCGGCCUCCCAAAGUGCUGGGAUUACAGGUGUGAGCCACCGCGCCCAGCGAUAGUUGAUUUUAAAUGUCAGUUUGGCUGGGCUAAUGGAUGUCCAGCUAUCUGAUAGAACAUUAUUUCCAGUGUGUCUGUGAGGGUGUCUCUGGAACAGAUGAGCAUUUCAAUCAGUUGUGCAUUGUUGGUGGGAAUGUAAAAUGCUAGAGCUGCUGUGGAAAACAGUAUGGUAGUUCCUCAAAAAAUUAAUAAUUAAAUUACCAUAUGAUCUAGCAAUUCUGCAUUUGAGUAUAUACCCCCAAAAAUUGAAAGCAGGGUCUUGAAGAGAUAUUGAUACACCCAUGUUCAUAGCAGCAUUAUUUGCAAUUCCCAAAAGAUAGAAGCAACCCAAGUGUCCAUUGAUGAAUUAAUUAAUAAGCUAACUGUGGCAUAUACAUAAAAUAGACUAUUAGCCUGAAAGAGGAAGGAAAUUCUGACACAUGCUGCAACAUGGAUGGAGUGUGAGGAGGUGAUGCUGAAUGAAAUGAGCCAGUCAAAAAAGACAAAGAUUGUAUUAUUCCACCUACAUGUUAAAUGUGCAGAGACAGAAAGUAGAAUGGCGAUUACUAAGAGCUGGGGGCGAGAGAGACCAGGGAGCUCCUGUUCAGUAGAUACAGAGUUUCAGUUUGGAAUGAUCAGAAGAGUUCUGUGGAUGGAUGUCGUGAUGGCUGCACAGGGUGGGAAUGUACUUAGUGCCACUGAACUGUACAUUUAAACAUGGUUAAGAAAGUAAAUUUUACGUUAUGUUUAUUUUACCAUAAUAUAUAUUUUUUGAGAUGGACUCUCACUCUGUCACCCGGGCUGGAGUGCAGUGGCGUGAUCUCAGCUCACUGCAACCUCCACCUCCCGGGUUCAAGUGAUUCAUCUGCUUCAGCCUCCCAAGUAGCUGAGACUACAGGCACGCGCCACCACGCUCAGCUAAUUUUUGUAUUUUUAAUAGAGACAGGGUUUCACCAUGUUGGCCAGGCUGGUGUCGAUCUCCUGAUCUUGUGAUCCACCUGCCUUGGCCUCCCAAAGUGCUGGGAUUACAGGCGUGAGUCACCGCUCCUGGCCUCCUAAUUUUUUUAAAAAGAACACAGAGACCCGUGGCAAUCUCAGUGCUGGACUUGACUCAGAGAAUAAGAAAUUGAGCAUCUUAUAAAAAGAUUUAAAACCAAAGUAUAAAACUUCUAGGAAAAAAACCCAGGAGAAUAUUUUAGCAUUUAGGGCUAGGAAUAAGCUUUUACACUUAACACCAAAAACAUGAUAUAUAAAAGGAAAAUGUGAUCAUCCAGAUCUUACCAAAAUAAAAACCUUUUGCUCAGCAAAACCCCAUGUGAAGAGAAUAAAAAGACGAGCCACAGAUUGGGAAAAAUAUUUGCAAUCUGUAGACACAAAGAAUUCUCAAAAUUCUAAAACAUACAAACAAUUGAAUAAGAAAACGGGCAAAAGGCAGGAACCAAUGUUCCACCAAAAAGGUGCCCAGAUGGGGAAUGAUUUAAUGAAAGGGUGUUCAGCAUCAUUAGUCAUCAGGGAAUUACAAAUGAAAAGCAAGUGACAGAUCACCACACUUCUCUCAGUUGCUAAGAUUUAAAACAAUGACGGCACCAAAAUACUUGUGAGAAUGCAGAGAACCUGGAUCACUCACAUUGCUACUGGGAGGUAAAAUAGUGCCGUCACUGAAGAAGACACGUUGGCAGCUUCUCAAAAAACCCAACAUGCAUCUACACCAUAGGGCGUAGCAACUGCCCUCUCGGGCACGUUUCCCACAAGAGUGGAAACUUCUGUUCACGCAGAACCCAAACACAAGUGCUCAUAGCGGUUACAUUUGUAAGACUGAAAAAGUAGAAGCAGCCCUGCUCUGGGGAGGGAUAACAUGAGGAGAAAUGCCAGAUGUAGGUAACGGGGGGAUGGAGGCAGCAAACCACACUGCCAUGUAUGUACCUAUGCAACAAUCCUGCAUGUUCUGCACAGGUACCCCAGAACCUAGAGUGCAGUUAAAAAAUAAUUAUAUAUAUAUAAACCAUUUGCCCACAGCAGUUGAGCAGGGCUGUUUCUUUAUGUAUAUUAUAUAUAUGAUAAUGUAUAUUAGACAUAAACAGCCCUGCUCCAAUAUAUAUUAUUCCUAAAGAAACAGCCCUGCUCAACUUCCAUGGGCAAAUGGUUGAACCAGCCAGUACACACCAGCUAUGGAACACCACCCAGCAGAAACAAAACCAAAAACGAAUGAACCCUUGGUACACGCAACGACUCGGAUCAAUCUUCAGGGAAUCAGACUGAGCGAGCACAAAGACUGGCCCUUACCAGCCAUGUUUCUAUGAACAUUCUGCUAUGACCACCUUGGUCAUCUCUAAGAAGACUGAGGCUUUCUACAGCUGCCUUCUGAGCCCUCACCAGAAUAGCGUUCACAGUCCGUUCAUGCCAACAUAGGGAUCUUUUCCUAGCCUGCUCCUCCAAACUCCGCUCUGCCCAGCUCCAAAAAGCUGCUUUCACUUUUUUUUUUUUUUAAGAUGAAGUGUUGCUCUGUCGCCAGACUGGAGUGCAGUGGUGCAAUCUUGGCUCACUGCAACCUCUGCCUCCCAGUUCAAGGGAUUCCCCUGCCUCAGCCUCCUGAGUAGCUGAGACAGACAUACACCACCAUGCCCAGCUAAUUUUUUGUAUUUUAGUAGAGACAGGGUUUCACCAUGUUUACAAGGAUGGUCUCGGUCUCCGGACCUCAUGAACCGCCUGCCUCAGCCUCCCAAAGUGCUGGGAUUACAGGCCUGAGCCACCGCGCCCAGCUGCUGCUUUCACAGUUUAAAAUGUUUGUUAUAGGAACAUUCCCACUUGGUACCAAUUUCUGUCUUAGUCUGUUCAGGCUGCUGUAACAAAAUACCUUUAACUGGGUAAUUUAUAAACAAUAGAAAUGUAUUGCUCACCAUUCUGAAAGCUGAGAGUCCAAGGUCAAGGCACCAGGAGCUUUGGGGUCUGGUGACAGCUCUGUCGUCUUCACAGAUGGCACCUUCUAUUGCCUGCUUAUGGCAGAAGGAGCCAGCUCAGUGUCCUUGCAUGGUGAAAGGCCUAGGUAGCUCAGUUCAACCUCUUCUCUAAGGGCCGGUAAUCCCAUUCAUGAGGCAGAGCUUCCCGACUUACUCACUUCCCAGAAAACCCCACCUCUUCAUACUGCGGCACUGUGUUUUAGGUUCCAAGAGGUGAAUCUGGGGGUCAGUGGGGGGACAGCAGCAUCCAGACAGUAGCACCAUCUUGACCUCAUGACCCGUGGCUAAGCAGGAUGGAAUAUCUUCCUGUCUUGCCUUCCUUGAUGUGUAUAUUAAUAUGUCAGGGUUCUGCAGAGAAAUAAUCAAUAAAAUAAAGACAUAUAAGAGGGGUGUGUCAUGGGCAUUGGCUCAUGUCAUUAUGGAGGCCAAGGAGUUCCACAGUCUGUCCUCUGCAGGUUGGAGACCCAGGAAAGCUGCCGACGUCAUUCAGUUUGAAUCUGAAGGCCUGAGAUCAAGAGGACGUAAUGAUGUAACUGUCAGUGCAAGGCCAAAUGCGGGGGAACCUGGAGUUCUGACGUAUGGGCGCAGGAGGCAAGGCAUGCCCCGGCUCCAGAAGAGUGAACUCACCUCUCCCCUGCCUGUUUGUCCCAUCCAGGCCCUCAACAGACUGGAAGGUGCCCACUCACAUUGGAUGAGGGUGGAUCAUCCUCAGUUGACUGACUCAAAUGCUCAUCUCGUCCCAAAACACCCUCGUAGAAGCACCCAGAGAUCAUGCUUUUCCAGCUCUCUGGGUGUCCUUGCACUCAGUUACCAGUACACCUGAAACUAACCAUCACACUGGGAAAGAUGUGAAGCCAAAGCCCUACCUGCCUAAGCCCCAAUUCUGGGACUCACCUGUCCUGCGCCACUAGGGCACAGACAUGACGGAUCUGCCACUUAGACACGCCCACAUGAGACUUUGAUUCAGGAGGGUUCUGUGUCCACACCCCCCGGAAGUAAGGCAUGAUGGCAGAACUUGCUUUGGAUGAUGACACAGAAAGCAAUACACCACUUCUGCGUGGCAGCACUGCAGAGCCAAGGCGCGAUUCUCCACCCCACCUUUUCCCUGGCUGUGGUCAGUCUGGAAGCCCAUGUGGAUGUGGAAGUGCCCCAAGGUCAAAGCCUGGAAUUCUGGGCCACCACAUGGAGAAUGACUGCCCUGAAGCAUUCUCCCGGAGACACAGAUGCUGAGUCACUGAGGUCAGGAGGCGGUUUGUUAUUGCAGCAGAACUCAGCCAACCCUGACUUACUCACAGUCCUGGUUCUAGAAAGCUACAUCAUCAGGGGGAGGAAGGAAACUCUGCCUCACUUCCUCACACUGACCUUCAGAAGGAAGGAAAAUCUGCCUCACUUCCUCUCACUGACCCUUCAGGAGGAAGGAAACUCAGCCUCACUUCUCUCUCUCACUGACCUUCAGGAGGAAGGAAACUCUGCCUCACUUCCUCACACUGACCCUUCAGGAGGAAGGAAAGUCGGCCUCACUUCCCCUCACUGACCCUUCAGGAGGAAGGAAAAUCUGCCUCACUUCCCCUCACUGACCCUUCAGGAGGAAGGAAAGUCGGCCUCACUUCCCCUCACUGACCCUUCAGGAGGAAGGAAAGUCGGCCUCACUUCCCCUCACUGACCCUUCAGGAGGAAGGAAAGUCUGCCUCACUUCCCCUCACUGACCCUUCAGGAGGAAGGAAAGUUGUCCUCACUUCCUCUCACUGACCCUUCAGGAGGAAGAAAAGUCGGCCUCACUUCCUCUCACUGACCCUUCAGGAGGAAGGAAAGUCGGCCUCACUUCCCCUCACUGACCCUUCAGGAGGAAGGAAAGUCGGCCUCACUUCCCCUCACUGACCCUUCAGGAGGAAGGAAAGUCUGCCUCACUUCCCCUCACUGACCCUUCAGGAGGAAGGAAAGUUGUCCUCACUUCCUCUCACUGACCCUUCAGGAGGAAGAAAAGUCGGCCUCACUUCCUCUCACUGACCCUUCAGGAGGAAGGAAAGUCGGCCUCACUUCCCCUCACUGACCCUUCAGGAGGAAGGAAAGUCGGCCUCACUUCCCCUCACUGACCCUUCAGGAGGAAGGAAAGUCUGCCUCACUUCCCCUCACUGACCCUUCAGGAGGAAGGAAAGUUGUCCUCACUUCCUCUCACUGACCCUUCAGGAGGAAGAAAAGUCGGCCUCACUUCCUCUCACUGACCCUUCAGGAGGAAGGAAAGUCGGCCUCACUUCCUCUCACUGACCCUUCAGGAGGAAGGAAACUCUGCCUCACUUCCCCUCUCACUGACCUUCAGGAGGAAGGCAUGUCUGGCUUUCCCCAGCAGGGCAGUGCUCCUCUGACCUAUGCGUGCUUCAGGACAUGAGAUGUUAGUGAGCCGCUUGGUCCCAAAGAGCAAGAUCAGGGAAAGUGAGUGCUCCAGAGAUGCCAAUCAUGGUGCCCAUCAUCCCACAGCCACCCAGAGGCUUCUGCCCCAGAGCCCAAGACUCUGGAGUGUGAAGGUGGAAAUGCUGUGAGAAUGAGGGAGGUGGGGGGUGGCUGGAGGAAAAAGGGGUGGCAUGCAACCUGAUGCAGCAGGAGCGGAACAGUGCGGAAUCUGCACAAGAGCUGGGGAAGCAGCCAGGCCCCCUGGCCCGUCAGCCAGCCUGUUUCAGGGUGUGUCGAGCAAGUCCGUGCUUCUUCCAGUUACACAGUCAGACUGUGCAGAAAGGCAGUGCCAACAUCCCAGGAACCUACCCCUUUUUUCUGGCCUGUCAGCAAAUCCGCCCAUGAGACUUCUCUCCCGGCCCCUCCCACUCCUAGGAGGUCCCAUCGGACCCCUCUCUACGGACGCAGAGGUAAGUGCCACAAGGAGCCUCAUUUUGCACAUGUCCCCAGGGCCUGGAAUUCCAUGUGGCAUGGAGUGAGUGCUCUUUGUAUAUACUACUUGUGCCAUAAAAUAAUUCUCAGAGUUCCCCAGGGAGAGCCAUCUGCUCCUCUGGAGGUCACCACCUGUCUUCCAUCUGCACUUUCGUCUUCCCAGGUGCCUGAGUCAGCAUCUCUGUUCUGGCCCCUUCUGACCUCCCCUACCUGCUGAGGGAGGGAUGAGUCCAUGCUGCUCAUCACAGUAUCCCCACGGGCUCAGCAUAUGAAUGGGAGCACUGGUCCCUGCUGUCCUGGAGCUCCUGUGGCUCCACGCCUGGGGCUCAUGGGAAACUGCAGCUGCACAGGCUCUGGUCUCCUGUGGCCACUACCCUCAGGGCCUCACCUGCCGCAGCCCCAGAACCUCCCUUCUUUCGUGCCCCUCUGCAUCUGACCCAAGACCCACCUACUUGCAUGCCUCCACCCCUCCACUGCCCUUGUCUCAGCUCCUGACUCUGCAUGGUCCCCAAGGCUCAGCUCCUUGCUCUGGUCCGAGAGACA